rnacentral:lncRNA from 1 species
CUCCUUUAAUUUUUCCAACUCUAAAACCCUUUUAACUCCAAAGGUUCCAACCCUUAACACUUAGAAUCCUUAAAACCCUUUAAUAUACAAUAGAUUUCAACUCAAACCCAAUCCAAUCAUGUCCCAAACCAACAAGAACUUCUACACAACACAACUACAAUUUCAACAACAUUAACAACACAACACAACUACAAUUUCAACAACUCCAACAACUUCAACCACAACAACUAACAACUUUA